rnacentral:lncRNA from 1 species
GUAAUUCAAGGGUUAGAAGACGCAUCGAUAUUUUCUCGAGAUAUGAGAGAGUUGACAUUCCCCCACUAAUCAUGUUUGAAGCACACAUGCAAGGGUGUCGCCCACUUGGUAUGUGCAAAGACCAAAUGCUCUCUAUAAGAUGGGUUUUCGCUAUUCCAGCAUAGUGAACCACUAACUAUCGUGUACAUGUACUAAGUUGGGUCACCAAAAGCUUUUUGAGUGAUCAUCACACUCCAAUUACCACCAAACUGUCUAGGUGAUGUCAAUCACCAAGAGUAAUAAAGCAAAAUCUCACUUGACUCUACCAACAAAAAUGAGAUUAAUGGCUACACACUAAUUACUCUUGUUUGCACAAAUGAGAUCACUAAUAACAUGGAAUCCAGCUCUCAAAUUCCUCACUAGGCAAUGGCUCCUUAUCACACACUCUAUGUGGGUUGUUUCAACUAUUAAAUGGGGGCAAGAGUACAUGUAUUGGAUAGUUGGUGGGGUAUUUAUAGCUCCUAACUAGCCAACUAAACGUUGCAGUGAAGUGUGGUAGAAAACUUAAUUGUCGGAUUAUAUCCUAGGGUCCGAUGAUACACAAUAACAUCUGCUAUACUACUAUGUAAGAACUAGUUGUUUGACUACAAUGAGUAUAUGAUCUGAUGCCCACUGCCAAGCCAGUAUGGAAUACACCAAAACCUCUCUAGUCACUUAAUAGAGAUCGUCGAACCCAUCCACCUUGGUACGAUGGUGCCAAUGUUCAUCGUAUCUGAUGACCCCGUAGAAGAAACCCUAGCACAAACAAUGGUGUCAUAUGGUUUGAUGCAUACUGUCAGACUAGUUUGAUGCCCCUAAAACUCUCUAGUCAGUUUACACAGAUCGUCGGAUUUAACACACUGAUCUGAUGCCCUACUGUUCACAUGGUCCGACAACCGUUCUAUCUCAAGUUAUCUACAUAGAGGUGUUAGACUAGUCCACUAUAGUCUUACUACCCUGAAACAUAAAGUUCGACGCCUUGAAAACCCCUCAAACCUGUCCAAAUUUGAAACUUUGGAAAUGAGUUUUGAUCAUGCUUUUUAGCUCUCUCCUAAACCACCUAGAGCUGAAGACAAAUAUUACGCAUCAUAAUAAACACAUUAGACUAAUCUAGGUCAAGCUAUUAGUUCAUACUACCCUUUAUAGUAUGGUUAAAAGGAAAAACAAAGUGCUAAACUAUUUUAAGCGUCUCUCAACUCCAUUCGACACGUAGAACUAGUCUAUUCUUAACCAUGUCUUCCACAAAUGAGUUUUGAUGAGUAGAUAGAAUGUCUGAAAAAUUAACAAGAUAACCUGCUAGUACCGAAGAAACCGUGCAACUGGCUAAAGGGGAAACUACAACCGCACUACCGGCAAACUGCCAAGGUUUCAACGAACUGCCGCCGAGAGCCCGAGACAGAGGGCGACAUCAUGUCGGAUCUCGUUGUCGCUACGGCGACUCACACGUGGACGCGUGCGGCUGCGCCGUGCGCACGGACCGCAGGCCGUAAACAGAAGCCAGCGUCGGCCGGCCCUCGGCAGCCCGGCAUGGCGGCAUCCGUCGAUCUCGUGCAGCAUAAAUACGGUGCCGUGUGCCGUUGCCGUUGGCCCUGUCGUUUCGCCAGCACUCCCUCUCCGCCCCCACAAAACUCCAAACUGAUCCAAGAGGCGAUCCAGCAACGGAGAAGCCCCCACGCCACGCGCGCUCAUCUCCUCGCCGCCUCGUUAACCACUCCGCCGUCAGCGCACCGGCAGCCCGGCACCGGGCGCGCACGGUGCGAAUUGGACGAGUAGCCGGCCGAUAACCACUGCGUCUCUCUCUCUCUCUCUCUGUCCACGCACGAGCAUCGAGAGGAAGGUGCACGCGAGGCCAUGGCGGCCGCCGCGUUGGACGCCGAGGCCGGCGCCACCAACGGCAGCGGCGGCGUCAGCCACGCCGCCGCCAAGCCGGGGCCCACGGCCGGGGCCGAUGCCGGCGCCGCCUUCGUGCUGGAGUCCAAGGGUACGCACGCGCAUGCUACGCUCCCCGACCUCGUUCGUUCGCGACCGAGUUAGCUGCGGGGCCGGCUAACUGAUGGACCUGCAUGCAGGGACGUGGUGGCACGCGGGGUUCCACCUGACGACGGCGAUCGUGGGGCCGACGGUGCUGACGCUCCCGUACGCGCUGCGC